CCCUCACUUUGCAAAUGGCGUUUGGACAGCGGGGGGCGUCCUUGCCUUCCUUGCCGCUUUCCUUGCCUUCAGGGAUGUAAGCAGGUUUCUUUUGUGUUUUCUCAUAAUGGCAAAGUUUUUAGCGCAAUUAACAGGACAGCGACACAGGACAGCGCGCCGAACCUCUGUCACGUCCCUGUCUUUUUUGAAUUGCGCUAAAGGCUUUGCCAUCAUGAGUAAGCCUUGCCAACUAGCCCAAGAAUCAGCCUUCUUGUGUUUUAACGGUAUUUUACGAGAAGACAAAUCGGCGACAUCAGCGCAAGAAGAAAGAAAGCAUUAGAAGAGCUGCGGGAUCCAGCCGGCAUUCGUGUAAGGGCCUGAGCAGUACCGGCUAUGGGCGGCACCAGACAUCGACACGGUUCUGCCGUCGGGCUCAAUUCACGCCGCUUUUUCGUAAGGACCGCAGAGUGACUGAAAGAAUGCUGGCUGCUCAUUUCUAUGGCACAUUUCCUUGGUUCGCGGUUCGAGCAAGGCGGGUACGGACAGCCAGGUCAAGCUACGUUUACCAGCCGAGGAGGGCGACUUUCCCGUGGCUCAUGGUUCGAACAACGGGGAGAUGAACAGCCGGGCCAAGUUCCGUUCCCCAGGUGACAAGCCUUCAAGACGCUGCUCAUAUUUUUUCGCUCCUUUGGACUUCAUUGUCCCGGAACCUACAAGUUAACAGUGAAUGUGUCACCACUGGAAGUAACAAAGAGCAGAAUCCUCACAAGGAACAGAGAUGAUUGGUGCGCAAGCCGCCUACGUCAAACCAUAAGAAGCCCAACGGCGGCCAUCAUAAUGACAGCACGUCUUCUUGAACUGCG